rnacentral:rRNA from 1 species
CUGCGCUGCUUACCAUGCAGUCGAACGGAGAUUCAGCAAUGGAUCUUAGUGGCGAACGGGUGAGUAACGCGUAGGCAAUCUGCCUUCUAGAUGGGGACAACAUCCCGAAAGGGGUGCUAAUACCGAAUGUUGUAAUUGGUUCGCAUGGACUAGCUACUAAAGGUGGCCUCUGAAUAUGCUACCGCUAGAAGAUGAGCCUGCGUCUGAUUAGCUAGUUGGAGGGGUAACGGCCCACCAAGGCUUCGAUCAGUAGCCGGUCUGAGAGGAUGAACGGCCACACUGGGACUGAGACACGGCCCAGACUCCUACGGGAGGCAGCAGUGGGGAAUCUUCCGCAAUGGACGAAAGUCUGACGGAGCAACGCCGCGUGAGUGAAGAAGGUUUUCGGAUCGUAAAGCUCUUUCGUUAGGGACGAACGUGCUCUUUGUGAAUAAUGAGGAGUAAUGACGGUACCUAAAUAAGAAGCCACGGCUAACUACGUGCCAGCAGCCGCGGUAAUACGUAGGUGGCAAGCGUUGUCCGGAAUUAUUGGGCGUAAAGCGCGCGCAGGCGGGAUAUCAAGUCUGUCUUAAAAGUGCGAGGCUCAACCUCGUGAGGGGACGGAAACUGGUAUUCUUGAGUGUCGGAGAGGAAAGUGGAAUUCCAAGUGUAGCGGUGAAAUGCGUAGAGAUUUGGAAGAACACCAGUGGCGAAAGCGACUUUCUGGACGAUGUCUGACGCUGAGCGCGAAAGCUAGGGGAGCGAACGGGAUUAGAUACCCCGGUAGUCCUAGCCGUAACGAUGGGUACUAAGGUUUUAGGGGUAUCGACCCCUCUGUGCG